GAGGGGGGGGCGGAAGGGGCAGAGAGCAGUUUGGGCAAGUGCGCUGUUCUAGCUAAAUUUUUCACUGCAUCAUGAAAGGGGGCCGGCAACUAGGUUCUUGCAUUAUACAACUUCCAGAAGGCAGAUGUGCACACGAUAGAGAAUCUGUACGCUUUAGGGUUGCUACUCUGCAGAGAUCAUUUUUGCACUUCCAUGGAAGUGCAUGAACAUGACUGUUAGCCAGGUCCUGAUGCUAGCAUCCAUAGCAGUUUUCAUUGUAACAAACUUAGGGAGAGAGUUACUCUUGCCCUCCCUAUGAAACCCACUGUGUGUAUGGUAAGAGCUGUUGAAAGCAGAAUUAUUGCGGAAGAUGAUUAAGCAGUGAAUAGACAUUUGUCUUUCAAACUAGCUUUUGAGGGGUUGAAGUGUUCAACCUCAUUACCACUCAGCCAUUCCCUUUUAAGACAGUUCUGUGGACAACCUUGUAAGAGAAUCUCUGCUUGACCCCCCUGCCCCUCUAGUCCUGUUGCUUAGUUUCCACAGCGUUUUUACUGUGUGCAUUGCCAGGGUGUGCUCUGCUUCCUGCAGUUUGAGAAUCUAGCUAAGUUAAAGCCAGCCUCACUGCUAACCAGCUCCCUCUGCUGAGCCAAAAGCCAGUUAUGAUUUCUAUACACUUAAUUUUUCAGUAUAUAAAAUCACCUGAUAGUAGUUUCCUCCCCAUAGUGUCCACUUUUUUGUGUGGAUGGGAGUGGGGCAGAAAGGCCUGCGGUGUACUGAAUUACAGCCUAGCCAAUUGUAAAGGUCUCCUUGAUACUUUGGGGGAUUUGUUGGGGCAGCUCUUGCUGAUGUAGCACAGCAGUAGCAUACAUCUUUGUGCUCGAUGUCGCCCUCGCCUUUAACAGGUAAAGCAGCAGUAUUUUUAAAAAUUGAUCAUCUUCCAUGCUACUGCAACAGACCUUCAUAGCAAAGGGCAGUAAGGUCACUUGUAGCCUCAGGUAGGAAGAGGAAUUGGCCUAUUUGCUCAAAUUAUGCACAGGAGGUGAAGUGUAAAGUAACCUAAGCUGAGGUUAAUGCUCUGAGAACAACUUACCGAUCGCUCCUCUGAUAUACCUGCCUACUAUGCAGUACAAUAAUAUAAGGUCAUUUCCCUAAAGGCUAGGUGUAAUGUAAGUAUUUCUUUGUUAACCAUUGCACCCCAGCAUAGCAGUAGUCUUAGCAAAGCCUCUGAUCACAGCUCCUUUAGGACUUCAAUAGUGCAAAAUCAGGCCCUUCUUUUUUACCUCUUGUUUUGCUUAUUUAUGCACCCAACCUUUUGCUCCAGGAAUGUCACUUAGUGUAUCAAACUUUUUGAAGUGGGAGGACUUUGGUCCUCUUUCAAAACUGUCUAGGGUAUUUUUUCCUCAUAGCCCAAGCCCGGUGGAGUUGCCUCCUCUUCCAUGGGCAAGAGAAGAGCCAGGUGGGAUUGGAAAAGCACACAAGCAGUCCCAUCUCCAUGAGGGGAGCGAAGCUAGGACAGUGCGCCAGUUGGAAGACUAUGCUUCAGCUCCUACAGCCUGCACCAACAGCCAUGCCUCUGACUGUAGAGUUCAGCUACCUCAUGGAUGGAGGGCACAGGACACAGCACAACUGUUACCAAUUUCAGAAAGUGGUAAGGGGCCUUGAGCCCUAGCUUUCUCCCCCUGCUGCCCCUGACAGUCAGGGGCUCAACAAUUCUAGCUGGUAAAUUUUUACCUGAGACUAACUUUUCUUACUCUACAGGCCCUUCACAGGCAGCUAAGCCUAGGCUGGCAUCUCAGUGAAAACUCAAGCCAAAAAACUAAAUAUGAUCUAUCAAAGUGCCCCUGCCUGCUUUCACAAGCAGUGCUAACGUGGGUGGACAGUAUUUCAAGUAUGGUCCUUCUCAACCUAAAAAUCAUAUGGCUUCUCCCUGAGGUAGGGAGAGUGGGGACUUAAAUCUGUUUCAGGAAAGUAUAGGAGACUUUAAUCCUUGAGAUCAGAUGUUGAGAAGUUCCAGCUGUUAACGAAUAGAUUUAAGUAUGGACUUUGCACCAGCCAGUAGAAUAACUACCGUGUUAAAUAAAACCCUUUUGAGUUUUAUUAUAGGUAUAUUAAAUGUCCAAGCAAAAAAGCUAAGUGGCUGGAGUGCACCAGGCUUAGCAUGUUAUGAAUCUUUUUUUUGAUGAAUCCUAACAUGAAAUGCUUCCUUAGGGCAACCAACUUAUUCCAGUUCCAUGUUGUCAUAGAACAUGACCAUCAAAACACAUUCUGCUCCUCACUGCACUAUCCAGAUGGAACAUGGAUGUGGGGAACUCCCACAAGACAUAGUAUUGUACUUUUAAUUCAGAAGGUAGGCCUCAUGCAUGUCAGUGUGUAAAUUCUGUAAGUAAACUAGAAAUAUUGCUCUUCCGUUAGUGCUCAGGACUGGACUUGGAUGCUUGAGAAUCACAGGGCAGAACAGUCAUGUCUACUCUACUGAGACUGCCUUCAUCAAAUUCUGCAUCUCAGUCAACCAGUCUUCCGCCAAAAGAAAGGAAAUGGCAUUGGCUAAGUCUUCUCCAGGGCAGAUGUCCUGCUUCCCACCCUGGAGGUGCACGGCUAUGAAAAUCCCAUUGUAAUGGAGCUGUGGCCUCUAGAUAAAUUUCCAGGCUGUGCCAACGUGAGUUACUUUCUUCAGGCAAUAAGGUCCACAGAGCUGGCACACCCUACAGUCAAUUUCCAUCUCAAUUCCGAAGGAUCCGCUUACUUAACGUUCAAGGACUUAAAUUUUACUUAAUGAGGACAAGUCUACCAUACUUUGCUUGGAGAAAUUGUUUUUUCCUCAAAGUAUAUUUAACAAUGUGACUUAAAGUAGAUUUGAAGUUAUCCUGGCUGUGCAAGUGCUUAACAAGAGGGAACUACAGGUAUGGGGUAUUCCCUGCUGCCAAGUCUGAUCCCCAAGCUCCAGGCAGGCUCAAGUACCAUUGUAAAAGAUCUAUAGAGCUUGUUCCUCAAAGAAAGGAAUUCUUCAGCUUUGCCUACUUAGGCAAACAAGGAAAAUUUUGCCUAGCCCAAAAAGGAAUGUUCUUUAAAAUGCCAGAAUGGACUUUCAAGGUAAACCUUAUUCUCCCCCAUUACUUUUCUGAAAAACAUUUAAAACAUAAGUGAUCCAAAUCCUUGUUAUAUCCCCACUGCUUUAAUAUAUUCACAUCACAAUCAAACUCCUCCUUCUUAAAACAGGAUUUAGGGGUUGCAUUACAAUGUUUGAGCACCACAAGUCUCAGUAGGAACACUCUUCCUCCAUAACUAGCA